CUCUAAUUUUGUUUUGACAGACUGUGAAAAGAGCGUUGAGACCAUCACCACUGUACAGGAAGACACAGUCCAGUAAUGGGUGUCAGAGGUUCAGUAGUGAACGACAGAAACAAACAAUCCAAAUUACCUGCAGAACGCCCUUGAUGGAGGCUUCAGCUGCAUCGUCAGACUGGCAGCACUGAGAUAUUGACUGAGACGGGACGUGAGGGCCUACUCUGCAUGCUCAGAGUUCAAGCCCAGCAGGCUGCAGCGGGCCUGACAUAUUCCGGAACAGCAGCACAGUCUUUAGAUGACUCCUCUGAAGAUGAAAACAUGGCGAGUUCUUCUCAAGAGAAGCAGUACAGGUGUGCCUCAGCUCCACGGUCCCUCCUGCAGCCUCUGCUCCUGAUGCUAACAUCAUGUCUCCAUCACAACAAGCAGCAGACCUGGAGUGACAGACCUUUCUCCAGAGCUGCCCCCUCCCUCUGAAACCCCCCUCUCCAAAACACUAUUUGUGUCGUUUUUUAAGUCUUAUUUGCAUGAGAAUUGUUGAUCAUAACAUUUCCAGCAGAUGCCUUAAUGUAAUGU